CUAAGUUUGAUGGCGACCGGCGCACGGGCGAGUAACACGUAUCCAACCUGCCGAUGACUCGGGGAUAGCCUUUCGAAAGAAAGAUUAAUACCCGAUGGCAUAGUUCUUCCGCAUGGUGGAACUAUUAAAGAAUUUCGGUCAUCGAUGGGGAUGCGUUCCAUUAGGUUGUUGGCGGGGUAACGGCCCACCAAGCCUUCGAUGGAUAGGGGUUCUGAGAGGAAGGUCCCCCACAUUGGAACUGAGACACGGUCCAAACUCCUACGGGAGGCAGCAUG
rnacentral:rRNA from 1 species